GACGGAGGAUGCAAGCGUUAUCCGGAAUGAUUGGGCGUAAAGCGUCCGCAGGUGGCAGUUCAAGUCUGCUGUCAAAGACCGGGGCUUAACUUCGGAAAGGCAGUGGAAACUGAACAGCUAGAGUAUGGUAGGGGCAGAGGGAAUUCCUGGUGUAGCGGUGAAAUGCGUAGAGAUCAGGAAGAACAUCGGUGGCGAAGGCGCUCUGCUGACCAUAACUGACACUCAGGGACGAAAGCUAGGGGAGCGAAUGGG
rnacentral:rRNA from 1 species